GACGAACGCUGGCGGCGUGCCUAAUACAUGCAAGUAGAACGCACAGUUUAUACCGUAGCUUGCUACACCAUAGACUGUGAGUUGCGAACGGGUGAGUAACGCGUAGCUAACCUGCCUGGUAGCGGGGGAUAACUAUUGGAAACGAUAGCUAAUACCGCAUAAUAUUAAUUAUUGCAUGAUAAUUAAUUGAAAGGUGCAAUUGCACCACUACCAGAUGGACCUGCGUUGUAUUAGCUAGUAGGCGAGGUAACGGCUCACCUAGGCGACGAUACAUAGCCGACAUGAGAGGGUGGUCGGCCACACUGGGACUGUGACACGGCCCAGACUCCUACAGGAAGGAGCAGUAGGGAAACUUCGGCAAUGGGCGAAAGUCUGACCGAGCAACGCCGCGUGAGUGAAGAAGGUUUUCGGGUCGUAAAGCUCUGUUGUAAGGGAAGAACGGGUGUGAGAGUGGAAAGUUCACACUGUGACGGUAUCUUACCAGAAAGGGACGGCUAACUACGUG
rnacentral:rRNA from 1 species